AGUGAACGCUGGCGGUAGGCCUAACACAUGCAAGUCGAACGGCAGCACAGUAAGAGCUUGCUCUUACGGGUGGCGAGUGGCGGACGGGUAAGGAAUACAUCGGAAUCUACUUUUUCGUGGGGGAUAACGUAGGGAAACUUACGCUAAUACCGCAUACGACCUACGGGUGAAAGCAGGGGAUCUUCGGACCUUGCGCGAUUGAAUGAGCCGAUGUCGGAUUAGCUAGUUGGCGGGGUAAAGGUCCACCAAGGCGACGAUCCGUAGCUGGUCUGAGAGGAUGAUCAGCCACACUGGAACUGAGACACGGUCCAGACUCCUACGGGAGGCAGCAGUGGGGAAUAUUGGACAAUGGGCGCAAGCCUGAUCCAGCCAUACCGCGUGGGUGAAGAAGGCCUUCGGGUUGUAAAGCCCUUUUGUUGGGAAAGAAAAGCAGCAGGUUAAUACCCCGCUGUUCUGACGGUACCCAAAGAAUAAGCACCGGCUAACUUCGUG
rnacentral:rRNA from 1 species